AAAAACAUUAAAAAAACAAAAAGCACGAACAGAGCUCUAAUAUGCAGUCAAUGUAUGUUCUGUUAUAUUAAAGGAACACUCUAAGCACAACAGUCUGUUUAGUUUGCUAUAGUUGUUAUGGUGCCAGGAGUGCCCUGAUGUCCUCAGUGUAAGGAGUCAAACUGUCUAAACCUGCUUAGGAGCUUCCAGCUCUCCUUGGGAAGUAGUAGAAGGGACUAG